CAGGCCUUCCUCCCGUUCGCCAUCCUCACUUCUCCCCAACCGAAAGCCCUCCAUUUCGCCCCCAUCUCAGGCCCGCAGCGACUGGAGGGUGGAGAGUAGGCCCGAAAGCCUAGAGGUAAGGCCUCAGGCCUUCCUCCCGUUCGCCAUCCGCGCCAACACCCAAAACCGCCCUCUCCCCCCCCCACCCCAGACGGGGGGGGGGGAAGGGGAGGGCUUUAAUUCCUUCCCCCAACCCUCCGUAGGCUCCAAACUCCCUCCUCCGACCGCUAGGCCUCGUUCCGCCAUCUUGGAUUCUAAGGACGAAUUCACUCAAUGGACAUGGUGGGGGGAGGCGAGGCAACGGAGGGGGUGGGGGAGGGGGCAAGGCGGGGACCCUGGCCCUCCCCCAGAACCCCGUUCCCCCACCCCCCCCCCAACCUCCACGCCCGGGAUGAGGGGGGAGCUGGAGGGAAGGAGGGAGGUGGACUUGAAGCCUGAGGCCUGUCUGGUGUCCGACUCGCUAAUAAAUGUCUGUUGCCGCCCCCUG